rnacentral:rRNA from 1 species
GGAGUCUGCAACCCGACUCCAUGAAGCUGGAUUCGCUAGUAAUCGCGCAUCAGCCACGGCGCGGUGAAUACGUUCCCGGGCCUUGUACACACCGCCCGUCAAGCCAUGAAAGCCGGGGGUACCUGAAGUGCGUAACCGCGAGGAGCGCCCUAGGGUAAAACUGGUGAUUGGGGCUAAGUCGUAACAAGGUACC